rnacentral:lncRNA from 1 species
AAGACAGGCAAGUAGCUUAGCUGGAUCACAUGUUGUCUUUACACUGCUCUUGUUAAUCCGUUUUUGGAACACUUUGUCAUUUCUUUGUAUUCCUCUUUCUUAGGAGCCUUUCUUUUCCCCAUCGAAUUCUGAAAGUGAGAAGAGUUGCAUAGCCCUGUGUACUUACGGAGCAAGCCCAAGACAUGAAGUUCUUGUGGCAAGAGGUUUGACAGUUUGAUUUAGCGGAUGAUGCUCAAAAUGGUCGCGUGGAUACAGUUGUUUGUGUCUUCACUGGAGGCCGUGGGUCCACAGGGUAACACUGCUGUAAACUCCAAGGAGGAAGGAAAGGACGCUUGCUUCUUGACAUUGUUUCUCCUGCAGAACAACUAGGACCCGGAUUAGGCAGCCCAAAGAAUGAAGAGAGGAGAGUUUGUCCUGUUUCAGCGAGUAGAUGGCUGGACGUCAGCUGAGAAGGAAUUGUGUGGAAGUGAACAGAUAAACAGUCUACUUUCUGCAAUGAGAAUUAUCUUCAAAAAUAUAUAACGUUUAGAUAUUCCUUAGGCCUGUACAUCAACAGAACCCAGGGACGGACUCCUAAGCCUCUGUGAAGGUUACGUCGAGUGGUUAGGAUCAAUCUUUGACAACACAUGCUGCAUUUUUAUAGCUGUCUCAAAGUGCGUUUAUACAUCUGAGAACUCACGGGAAACUCACGCUUCAGAGGCAGCUCCUGGUUUUUAAGUUCACUGCAGGUCAGAGGGACAGACUCUGCUCCACGUGGUCACGUGAAGACCUAGGCUCCUUCCAUACUGUGGCUGUACAUCUCUCAAAAGUGGCUGGGAGUUUGCUUGGUCUCCGCCAUCUGGAGUCAAUGACAAGAGAAGACAUGAAGAAGGCACAUCUGUCUUAACUGUUUGUGAGCAGAGGUGAAAAAAAAUUGCGAGAUGCCUAGAAAACAAAGUGUAGAUUUGUACCUAGGAAGAGGGAAUGCAUUGGGUGAGUGUGUACCCAUCUCUGUCAUGUAGCGUGGGAAGGGAUGGACACUGGAAAGGGCGAGCUUUCUCCCGCGGGUGUGGGAUGGGGUGCGUGGUGCUGGGGAACAAACGGAAAAUGUUGUGUGUGUUCUAAUUCUUUCCGAAACUAUAGCAGUGUUACAAGCUUUAUCUCUGUGCUAAAUUUUGGCCAUUUGGGUUGGCAGAUUUUUCCUGUGGUAACCCUUUUACAUCGUGGCAAGGAUUUUCUGGUCUGAUUCAUGUAAACUCCUUCCCGCUUUUGUGAUCCCUGGCUAGCAGCUGGUGAAGCCUUUGCCGUCUGUUUGGUACACAUACUCUUCCAAAUAUCCGUAAGGUACUGACUUACGAGACCAAGAUCUGGGAAUAGAUGGAGCCUCAGCCUCUUCCUGAAUAGCACGGGUUGGUGUGGCUGGAAGUAAGACAUUUUGGUGCAAAACUCUCUCUCUGAAUGUACAUAGGUACAAGUUAAGUCUGAGGUUCAACUGAGGGCCUUCCAGGAAAGAGCACGUGAGGAGGACAGAGGCACUUACUGAGGACUUUAAACUAAAAACAGCAACAUUCAUGGGUGAGAAGGAGCUGGAUUCAGACCUGGCUGUUUCAAAGGAUUCUGAGGCUGAAAUGACUGGAAAAUGUUAUAAUUUAUUCUGAUUUCAAAUAGAAAAUACUAAUUUUCCUAUCCCUACAUAGAAGUUAUCCUCUUCAUGAACCUUAAAUUUGAAAUUGCCUAGAUUUCUUCUCUCAGCAUUUCAUGAUUUAAUAUAUUUACAAAAAAUUCUUAGCAAAACUCACCCGGUGUCGCCGGAGAAGUAUUUUAAUUCUCUGCUUUUCACUUGCUGAAAGUCAUUGGCAUUUGACCGUAGAAAUUAAGAAUUUGAAUGAUUCAUUCGUAAAGUACUGGGGACAUUAGGAUCUGUUUAGGGGCACCAGAAUGUCCACUUAUUUUCAUUGCAGUUUCCAACACAGGAUAAGCAUUCUGAAGUCGAUGCUCUGGGAAAAGCCACCUUCAGUACAAACUCUUAUGUUGUGGAAAAUUAAUCUGAUUGCUUCUUUUUCAUCAUAAACAUAUGAUCUAGCAAGCAGCUGU